AUGGCACACGGUUACGCUUUUAGCGUGCAAAAAUACCGUGAGAAUUAUCGUUUCUAAAUACAUAUAAUUAAGAUUCACAAUGAAAUAUACUGGAUGAAAAUGAUAUAGAGCUGCAAUGAUAUUGGUGAAACAGUAAAGGUCAACUUUUACUAAUUAUUGUUUGGGCAGAGGGGACUUAAUACUACAGGAAUACGAAUUUAUUAAAUAACUUCCAUUAAUACGUAUAGCUUCUUAACUCUAAAAUAACCAGCUUCUAUAGCGAAGAUAAAGUAGGUAUAUUUUCCGAUAUUGAUAAAAAUCAACGCUAAUUUGCUUAUAUGAUGUUCUUAGUUAUUGUGAGAUAAAAAAGAAAAGUAAAAUCCAUCGCCACAAGCAUUUUGAUUUUUCUAUGAAUUCAUGAUAGCACGCUACAUAGAUAUAUAUGUAUAUGUAUAUAUAUAUAUAUAUUGUACUCAUCUAAUAUCGGAAUAACCACAGAUUGAUUACAAGGAAAAUUUAUGACGGAGCAACAGGAAAGCACAGAAGGAAAGAAAGCACUAUCCUUUAUGGGUUUUUAGAACGAGAGUCAGAAUUUACGUCAUUGUGAUUUCCAAGAGACCGGUUCCUCGGCACUGAUCUUUUUCCUUUUAUUCGCAGGACUCCUUAAGACCGUGUAAACGUGUUUAAUGCGCAUAGAUCUUUCUUAGUGCACGUUUUAAGCGUACGUCAAACAUCAAUUUCGCGAGAUCAUACUUAAUUUUGACUUUUAUACAUUCUAUUUUCUCUACGUAAACAUCAUGAAAGAUGCACGACUCGAAGAAACUUAUAUAUUUGUAUUUCCUAUUUAUCGAGAUAUCCCUAAAACGCUACGGAAGUAUAGUAGAGUUAUUAUGAAAACGCAUGUAUAAUCGUCGUUUUCAGAUGCAAGCGACGACCUUGAAAACAGCGACAUAACAAGAUCUCGAUAGCCCUAUAAGUACUGUUGGUAAUUAAUAGCGACAAUGAUAAAAGCGAUAGUGGUCGCAUGCAACUGGCCAUUGCCUGUUUCAGUAAUUAAGUUUCAACAUCGAUGAGGUUAUCAUGAUAUUCCGGCUAGGCUAUUAGUCUACAAGGGGACCUGAAGGUGGAAUGAGUAAAGUUAUUAUACGUCUAUUAUAGUUUGUGAUAAUAUAUUAGAAUCCAUUAACUGACUAGCAAGUUACAAAUGACUUAUACUUACUUAUUGCUUCCUACUCAUUACUUGUUCCAUUCUCUCGUUAUUUCUGUUAAUUGUACGAUACUUUUACAGGACUCCCUUUCGAACUACGCUUUUUUAAAAUAAGGAAAUAUAACAAAAAUAAAUUAUGAUUAAUAAGUUAGUCAAUUCAAGCUGGAAUGACAUUGUACCUAUAUAUAUGAAUGUAUCGAAAAGUAUACUUUAAACGAGUCUUUGCACUUUGCAUUACUGAAUGAAUAAAGCAUAAAUCUUUGUUUUAUCUAAA